CCUCAAUCGGCCAAACCGUGAGGGAGCAGACCCCCGUGAGGGAUGUCGGCUUAUUUGUUGUAAGCCUAUUAUCUCAGGGGGGAAAUCAGAGGGUUUCCGUGGAAAAAGCGUCGGUUAAAUUCGUUCCCGCCGGCGGGUUAGUCGGGGGGUUCAAGUGUUUCUCGGAAUCACUGGGCGUAAAGGGUCUGAGGGGGUAUAGACAAGUUCAGUGUUGAAUCUUGGCGUUACACUUCGAAAUUGCCGUUGAAUCUGGUUGGUUAGGGUAUGUUAGGGGGAAGGGGAAUUUCCUGUGGAGGGGUGAAAAGGCUAGAGUUUUGAAAGAACCCCCAUGGGGGAGGCCAUUUUAUGGGCUAUUAAUGGCACUCGGAGGAGAAAGGUAGGGUAGCAAAACGGAAUAGAUACCCCUGUUGUCCCACCCGUAAACAGAGGAUUAUUGGUUGUUGGCAGAUCUACUUUUUCAGUGGUUAAGCUAACGCGAUAAGUAUC
rnacentral:rRNA from 1 species